rnacentral:rRNA from 2 species
UUGGGCGUAAGCGCGCGCAGGCGGUUUCUUAAGUCUGAUGUGAAAGCCCCCGGCUCAACCGGGGAGGGUCAUUGGAAACUGGGAAACUUGAGUGCAGAAGAGGAGAGUGGAAUUCCACGUGUAGCGGUGAAAUGCGUAGAGAUGUGGAGGAACACCAGUGGCGAAGGCGACUCUCUGGUCUGUAACUGACGCUGAGGCGCGAAAGCGUGGGGAGCGAACAGGAUUAGAUACCCUGGUAGUCCACGCCGUAAACGAUGAGUGCUAAGUGUUAGAGGGUUUCCGCCCUUUAGUGCUGCAGCUAACGCAUUAAGCACUCCGCCUGGGGAGUACGGUCGCAAGACUGAAACUCAAAGGAAUUGACGGGGGCCCGCACAAGCGGUGGAGCAUGUGGUUUAAUUCGAAGCAACGCGAAGAACCUUACCAGGUCUUGACAUCCUUUGCCACUUCUAGAGAUAGAAGGUUCCCCUUCGGGGGACAAAGUGACAGGUGGUGCAUGGUUGUCGUCAGCUCGUGUCGUGAGAUGUUGGGUUAAGUCCCGCAACGAGCGCAACCCUUGAUCUUAGUUGCCAGCAUUCAGUUGGGCACUCUAAGGUGACUGCCGGUGACAAACCGGAGGAAGGUGGGGAUGACGUCAAAUCAUCAUGCCCCUUAUGACCUGGGCUACACACGUGCUACAAUGGAUGGUACAAAGGGCUGCGAGACCGCGAGGUUUAGCCAAUCCCAUAAAACCAUUCUCAGUUCGGAUUGCAGGCUGCAACUCGCCUGCAUGAAGCUGGAAUCGCUAGUAAUCGCGGAUCAGCAUGCCGCGGUGAAUACGUUCCCGGGCCUUGUACACACCGCCCGUCACACCACGAGAGUUUGCAACACCCGAAAGUCGGUGGGGGUAACCGCAAGGGAGCCAGCCGCCUAAGGUGGGGUAGAUGAUUGGGGGUGAAGUCUAAA